CUUCUGUUAGUGGACUAAGGCGAAGAAGAGCAGGCAAGUUCUCCGCCUUUACGCCUUUGUUGAUGCGUCAUCCCAAAACGCUAUGGUUGCCAAAUCUAGCUCCUCCGGCUUCUCCUUCGCUCAUUCGGGCGCUCUUCCAUACCAAGUCCCCUAAUCCAUCGUGCUCGAUAUGCCCAUUGCGCUAGGGUUUUUAAUCCAAACACCAACCGCCAUUAGAUGUUGGUGAGGAGCAAGAGCACGACUAGGUGCCAGCGCAUCGCAUGUAACGGCGUUAGUUUUUCUCCGGUGUCCUCGCCUAGCUAUGUAUGUUGAUUCCGAUAGCUCCAACUUGACAUGUUGUUUCCUCUCAAAAGAUCUCUUUCUCUCUCUCCCUCCCUCUCUCUCCCCCUCUCUCUCUCCCUCCCUUUCUCUCCCCUCUCUCUAUCUCUGUCCAAUUUGCUAAUAG
rnacentral:lncRNA from 1 species